UGUAGAGGCUUUGAUCUUUAUUUUUUAGUGUAUUGCAUAUUCUAAUAUUCAUACAGCAAAAUAUACAAAUUUGAGUGAAAAUCGUCAAAAUCGCUGACGGUGGCUGGCACCUUUUUUCAAAUAUGCUGGCGGGGAAAGAGUUAAUAUUUACUGUAUUUCUAUUCAAGCAUAAGAGACUUGGUGAGCAUAAGAAAUGUUUUUCAUAAACAUAAAAAAGGUAGUUAUUCCAAAUAAGUACUAAAUAUAAAACAAAACUGGGAAGUGGGCUUCAAAAAAGCACCAGGAAUUGAGCCUGAAAUGAAAUAUGAGACUAGUAAUGCUUAUUGGUGUGUUAAUAUUGUAAAAAAUGUUAACACAUAGCAUGUUAUUUCACAGUAGUACUACUCGUUAGUUGUCUUUUAGUUGAAAAGGUGCACUAAGUGAUUUUUCUUUUGUUUCGCUGGUUAAAUAACAAAGGGUUUGGAGCUUUACACAGAAGGAAACAUUUGGCUGUUCACAUGCAUUUAUUCCAUAACAUCCAUUUUCUUUCAUAUUUGGAGGAUUUUUUUGAGCUGCCUUUAUCUCAUGUGAAGGUACAUCAGUUUAAACAUUUGCCAAUAGGACUAAUAAUUUAUUUUGGUGUAAAUGUUGGGAAAAAAAUUACUUGUGCAUCUCAUCCACAGGCCUGUUACCUCGAUGUGAAUUAUGAUGCAGCAUAAAUUCUCAACUGUGUUGCACUACUGUGAAAUGAUUUGACGGAUGCAUGACCAUAGUUUGGUGAACUGAAUGUGAAGGAAGUCUCCCUUACAUUCCCUUGAAUGCCUUCACACAGAAAUGCAUUUAUCUAUAUAUAGCCUAAUGCUUUCUCAUAGAGGAACAGCCGUUUUAGCUUUAUCUCUGUAAUUAGUUAAACUUUAAAACACUAUAUAAAAGCCUUCAUAGUUCAAUUGUCAAAGAUCAAAUUGUUGUUGUUCAUUGCAAAACGGUUUAUCGAAAUACCAAAAACUUGAUGCAAUAAAAGCACAAAUCCAGCUGUGGUCUGUUCACCAAAGGCACAUUCAUGCUGCUUUCUUCCAGUGCCACACAAUUGCAUCAGCAUUUCAAAGAGAAACUGAACAUCACCUCAGUUUCCAGAGCUGUAGCUUUUCUAAAGCAGUGUGAUUUUGUAUUUUUGUGUAACUUUCUGCCAAUGCAAUGCACAAUGUGUACUGUAAGCCAAUGUAAUGGCCAUAACACAUGUGUGUGUGUGAGUUUGUGUGUGUGUGUGUGUGUGUGUGUCAUCCAGACCCAGAUGCAACACAGGGAUCAAGUAUACAAAGACUAUUUAUUUUUGUGGCUUGUAACCGAUUAAUAGUUUUGUAACUACCACUGAUUAAUGAUUUUGUAACCCAAAGUAUUUUCACACCUUAUUUAAUAAAAACAUGCUGCGAAUUAACACGUUUGAA